CGCGUAGGCGGUGCUUUAAGUGAGAUGUGCAAUCCCCGGGCGUUAACCUGGGAACGUGCAUCUCAGACUGGAGCGCUAGAGUACUGGAGAGGGUGGUAGAAUUCCACGUGUAGCGGUGAAAUGCGUAGAGAUGUGGAGGAAUACCAGUGGCGAAGGCGGCCACCUGGACAGUAACUGACGCUGAGGCGCGAAAGUGUGGGUAGCAAACAGGAUUAGAUACCCUGGUAGUCCACGCUGUAAACGAUGAACACUUGGUGUGGCGGGAGUUGACCCCUGCCGUGCCGUAGCUAACGCGCUAAGUGUUCCGCCUGGGGAGUACGGUCGCAAGGCUGAA
rnacentral:rRNA from 1 species